AGUGAUGGCCAAACUCGGCCCUCCAGCUGUUUUGGGACUAUAAUUCCCAUCAUCCCUGGCCUGUUAGCUAGGGAUGAUGGGAGUUGUAGUCCCAAAACAGCUGGAGGGCCAAGUUUGGCCAUCACU